GACGUAGGGCGCGAGCGUUGUCCGGAUUUAUUGGGCGUAAAGAGCUCGUAGGCGGCUUGUCGCGUCGUUCGUGAAAACCUGCGGCUCAACUGCAGGCUUGCGGUCGAUACGGGCAGGCUGGAGUUCGGUAGGGGAGACUGGAAUUCCUGGUGUAGCGGUGAAAUGCGCAGAUAUCAGGAGGAACACCGGUGGCGAAGGCGGAUCUCUGGGCCGAUACUGACGCUGAGGAGCGAAAGCGUGGGGAGCGAACAGG
rnacentral:rRNA from 1 species